AUAUUCAGAAGUUAUUGUAGAGG
rnacentral:piRNA from 1 species